AUUGAACGCUGGCGGCAGGCCUAACACAUGCAAGUCGAGCGAGCGGCGGACGGGUGAGUAAUGCCUGGGAAUUGCCCAGUCGAGGGGGAUAACAGUUGGAAACGACUGCUAAUACCGCAUACGAUUGGAUUGCCCAGGUGGGUUUAGCUAGUUGGUGAGGGAAUGGCUCACCAAGGCGACGAUCCCUAGCUGGUCUGAGAGGAUGAUCGGCCACACUGGAACUGAGACACGGGCCGGACGCCUAGGGGGGGCGGCGGUGGGGAAGAUGGCACAAUGGGGGAAGCCUUGAUGCAGCCAUGCCGGGUGUGUGAAGAGGGCCUUCGGGUUGUAAGGCACUUUCAGCGAGAAGGCGUGACUCGCAGAAGAAGCACCGGCUAACUCCGUGCCAGCAGCCGCGGUAAUAC
rnacentral:rRNA from 1 species